rnacentral:rRNA from 1 species
CCUACGGGUGGCAGCAGUGGGGAAUAUUGCACAAUGGGGGAAACCCUGAUGCAGCAACGCCGCGUGAGUGAAGAAGUAUUUCGGUAUGUAAAGCUCUAUCAGCAGGGAAGAAAAUGACAGUACCUGACUAAGAAGCCCCGGCUAACUACGUGCCAGCAGCCGCGGUAAUACGUAGGGGGCAAGCGUUAUCCGGAUUUACUGGGUGUAAAGGGAGCGCAGACGGCGGCGCAAGUCUGAAGUGAAAGCCCGGGGCUCAACCCCGGGACUGCUUUUGAAACUGUGUGGCUAGAGUGCUGGAGGGGUAAGUGGAAUUCCUAGUGUAGCGGUGAAAUGCGUAGAUAUUAGGAGGAACACCAGUGGCGAAGGCGGCUUGCUGGACUGUAACUGACGUUGAGGCUCGAAAGCGUGGGGAGCAAACAGGAUUAGAUACCCCUGUAGUC